rnacentral:rRNA from 1 species
AUUGAACGCUGGCGGCAUGCCUUACACAUGCAAGUCGAACGGCAGCACGGGAGCAAUCCUGGUGGCGAGUGGCGAACGGGUGAGUAAUGUAUCGGAACGUACCUUUCAGUGGGGGAUAACGUAGCGAAAGUCGCGCUAAUACCGCAUAUUCUGUGAGCAGGAAAGCAGGGGAUCGCAAGACCUUGCGCUGAUUGAGCGGCCGAUAUCAGAUUAGCUAGUUGGUGAGGUAAAGGCUCACCAAGGCGACGAUCUGUAGCGGGUCUGAGAGGAUGAUCCGCCACACUGGAACUGAGACACGGUCCAGACUCCUACGGGAGGCAGCAGUGGGGAAUUUUGGACAAUGGGGGCAACCCUGAUCCAGCCAUGCCGCGUGAGUGAAGAAGGCCUUCGGGUUGUAAAGCUCUUUCGGCCGGGAAGAAAUCACAUGGGUUAAUACCCUGUGUGGAUGACGGUACCGGAAUAAGAAGCACCGGCUAACUACGUGCCAGCAGCCGCGGUAAUACGUAGGGUGCGAGCGUUAAUCGGAAUUACUGGGCGUAAAGCGUGCGCAGGCGGUUUGUUAAGAUAGGCGUGAAAUCCCCGGGCUCAACCUGGGAACUGCGUUUAUGACUGG